GCCAGUGGAAAUAGCACUUUAAAUGGACCACUUCCCCUUGGAUCACUGAAAUAAAGCAACGUUGGGCGUGGUUGGUAUCCGGAUGAAUUACCACCUGGGUGAUUGUAUGCUGCUGGCU
rnacentral:rRNA from 1 species